AGUUUAAAUUAUUAUUAUUAUUUAAAUAUUUAGCUUUAUUAAAAUUAAUAUAUUAAGUUUUAUUAUUUUUAAAGAAAAAAUAUAAUUAAUUAUAGUUAAUUAGUAUUGAGAAAGAAUUUAUUAAAAUUUGAAAAAGAAGUUUUUAGAUUAUGUACCUUGUGUUUCAGGGUUAAUUUAUUAAAACUUAAGAUUUUUAAUUUUCUCGAAGUAAUAAGAUCUAAUUUUAUAUAAAUUUUAUUGUAGAAUAAUUAUUUAUAAUAUAAAAUUAGUAAUGAAAUGUUAUUCGUUUAUUAAUAUAUCUAGUUUUUUUAGAAAUUAAUUAAAUUUAAUAUUUAAUGAAUAUUUAAUUAAAUUAUUAAUUAAAUAUUAUUAAAUGUAAAUAUUUUUAGGGAUGAGCUUAAAAAUAAAUUUUUAUAAAUUAUUAAGUUUAUUAAAAUUUGUAGAAUUAGUAAUAUUAAUCAAUAAAAGUUUGUUAUGAUUUAUUUAUUAAAAUUAAAAUUUUUAUUAUUUUUAAAUUUGGUAUAAAAAUUUUUAUUUAAAUAUUAAUUAUAAAGUAAUAAUGAUUGAAUUAGUAAAAUUGAAUGUUUAAUUGAGUAUUUAUUAAAGAUUAAGUUUAAUAAUUCGGCAAAUAUUAUUUUCACCUGUUUAAUAAAAACAUGUCCUAUUGAUUAUUUUUUUAGGUUUAACCUGCCCAAUGAAAUUUUUGAAUGGCCGCGGUAUUUUGACCGUGCAAAGGUAGCAUAAUCAUUAGUUUCUUAAUUAGAAGCUGGAAUGAAAGGUUGAAUGAAAAAUAAACUGUUUUAGUUUAAAAAAUUGAAUUUUAUUUUUAAGUAAAAAAGCUUAAAUUUUUUUAAAAGACGAGAAGACCCUAUAGAGUUUAAUAUUUAAUUAAAUAAUUUUUAUUUUGGAAUUAAAAAUUAAAUUAUUGAUUAUUAUUUGAUUGGGGUGAUUGAAAAAUUUAGUUAACUUUUUUUUUAUUUUUUUCAAAAAUUUUUGUUUUAAUGAUCCAUAUUAAUGAUUAAAAGAAUAAAUUACCUUAGGGAUAACAGCGUUAUUUUUUUGGAGAGUUCUAAUCAAUAAAAAAGUUUGCGACCUCGAUGUUGGAUUAAAUUAUAGUUUUGGUGUAGAAGCUGAAAUAUUAAGUCUGUUCGACUUUUAAAAAUUUACAUGAUCUGAGUUUAAACCGGUGUGAGCCAGGUUGGUUUCUAUCUUUAAAUUAGGUAAAUAUUUUAGUACGAAAGGACCAAAUAUUUGAUUAAUAGUUUAUUAUAAGAAUAAAUUUAAAUU
rnacentral:rRNA from 2 species